CAUCUUAAAGGUUGAGUGCUUGCCUGUUUUCUCAUCAAUAAGAAUCGUGCAAUGUUUGAGCAAGCAAAAAUGGCAUUCUGGCUAAACCUCAUGUCUUUGUUAGUGGUCCUCAAAGGUGUCCAAUCUGAGGUUCAGUUGGUGGAGUCUGGAGGGGAUGUGAGAAGACCUGGAGAGUCCCUCCGUCUCUCCUGCCAAGCUUCUGGAUUCAACUUUGGUGGCUACAACAUGGGCUGGGUGAGACAGGCUGCUGGGAAAGGACUUGAAUGGGUAUCAUACAUAAGCUACAAUUCUGGUACUAUAUACUACUCUGACAAAGUGAAGGGCCGCUUCAUCAUCUCCAGGGACAAUGCCAAAAGCCAGCUGUAUCUUCAAAUGAACAGCCUCAAACCAGAGGAUACGGCUGUCUAUUACUGUACGAGAGACACAGUGAGAGGAAGUGAAUCUGAAGCCAAGCAGAAACCUUCCAUGUCUCAGAGACAUUUUCCAAGUUCACCCAAUAACCAGAGCUUGAACUGGUACAUAACUAUUGUGAGGAAUCAUGCAAAAGCACCAUCAACAUUGACUUUCUUGAAAGGAUUUCACAAAUAUAGUGAUAAAGACAGAGAGCCAGAAAUGAGAAGCCAAUGCACAAACAUUUGCUAA